GUUCCAUGAUUGGGACAUUCUAUGAUGUAGUCUUGAAAGUGCUCCCAUGCUUCUGGAACAGAUUCAUCAUUUUGUUGCUCAAAAAUUGUAAUCUUCCCAUGGAUAGC
rnacentral:snoRNA from 1 species